UACGUAGGGUGCAAGCGUUAAUCGGAAUACUGGGCGUAAAGCGUGCGCAGGCGGUGAUGUAAGACAGGUGUGAAAUCCCCGGGCUCAACCUGGGAACUGCAUUUGUGACUGCACAGCUGGAGUGCGGCAGAGGGGGAUGGAAUUCCGCGUGUAGCAGUGAAAUGCGUAGAUAUGCGGAGGAACACCGAUGGCGAAGGCAAUCCCCUGGGCCUGCACUGACGCUCAUGCACGAAAGCGUGGGGAGCAAACAGG
rnacentral:rRNA from 1 species